rnacentral:rRNA from 1 species
GAUGAACGCUGGCGGCGUGCCUAAUACAUGCAAGUCGAGCGAACGGACGAGAAGCUUGCUCCUCUGACGUUAGCGGCGGACGGGUGAGUAACACGUGGAUAACCUACCUAUAAGACUGGGAUAACUUCGGGAAACCGGAGCUAAUACCGGAUAAUAUAUUGAACCGCAUGGUUCAAUAGUGAAAGACGGUUUUGCUGUCACUUAUAGAUGGAUCCGCGCUGCAUUAGCUAGUUGGUAAGGUAACGGCUUACCAAGGCGACGAUGCAUAGCCGACCUGAGAGGGUGAUCGGCCACACUGGAACUGAGACACGGUCCAGACUCCUACGGGAGGCAGCAGUAGGGAAUCUUCCGCAAAGGGCGAAAGCCUGACGGAGCAACGCCGCGUGAGUGAUGAAGGUCUUCGGAUCGUAAAACUCUGUUAUUAGGGAAGAACAAAUGUGUAAGUAACUAUGCACGUCUUGACGGUACCUAAUCAGAAAGCCACGGCUAACUACGUG